AUGAACGCUGGCGGCGUGCCUAAUACAUGCAAGUCGAGCGAACGGACGAGAAGCUUGCUUCUCUGAUGUUAGCGGCGGACGGGUGAGUAACACGUGGAUAACCUACCUAUAAGACUGGGAUAACUUCGGGAAACCGGAGCUAAUACCGGAUAAUAUUUUGAACCGCAUGGUUCAAAAGUGAAAGACGGUCUUGCUGUCACUUAUAGAUGGAUCCGCGCUGCAUUAGCUAGUUGGUAAGGUAACGGCUUACCAAGGCAACGAUGCAUAGCCGACCUGAGAGGGUGAUCGGCCACACUGGAACUGAGACACGGUCCAGACUCCUACGGGAGGCAGCAGUAGGGAAUCGUCCGCAAUGGGCGAAAGCCUGACGGAGCAACGCCGCGUGAGUGAUGAAGGUCUUCGGAUCGUAAAACUCUGUUAUUAGGGAAGAACAUAUGUGUAAGUAACUGUGCACAUCUUGACGGUACCUAAUCAGAAAGCCACGGCUAACUACGUG
rnacentral:rRNA from 1 species